rnacentral:rRNA from 1 species
UACCCCUCUGGGGUAGCACUUAUUAGAUGGAAACCAACCCCUUCGGGGUGAUGUGGCUGAAUCAUAAUAAACCUGUGGAUCGCCGGUGGCGAUGGAUCAUUCAAGUUUCUGCCYUAUCAGCUUUGGACGGUAAGAUAUUGGCUUACCGUGGCUUUAACGGGUAACGGGGAAUUAGGGUUSGAUUCCGGAGAGGGAGCCUGARAGACGGCU